AGGGCCCAAAGUGGCCCAUGGACGUUCUUGAAGGCCUGAAACGUGUUGGUGAUCAGAAAGUCCAGAAUGGUGGCUCUGAUUCUCUGGAGGUUGAAUCAAGAGUGUUGCGAGGUGAAGAAGAUGAAGGGUGACUUUUCUCUUAAAUCUCUGUAUAUUCAAUGCUGUAUCUAUUGCAUCAAGUCUUAAAUGGCUUCUGAUUUCUUGCCAGCAAAACAGAUUUGCUCUUAACCCCGAACCACAUAAUUUUUGUCUUCUUUACUUUCUGUCAUUAUUUUAGAUUGUUGUUGUUGUUUAUCUCAAGAAUGAUUGUUCAAAACUUCAUACAUUUCAGCUCAAAUGAAGAUGUUUUUUGUGUCUCAAAA